rnacentral:rRNA from 1 species
AGGACGAACGCUGGCGGCGUGCUUAACACAUGCAAGUCGAGCGGUAAGGCCCCUUCGGGGGUACACGAGCGGCGAACGGGUGAGUAACACGUGAGCAACCUACCCUCAACUUUGGGAUAAGCCUCGGAAACGGGGUCUAAUACCGGAUAAUAUCGCAUCCUUCCUGGGGUGUGGUUGAAAGUUCUGGCGGUUGGGGAUGGGCUCGCGGCCUAUCAGCUUGUUGGUGGGGUAAUGGCCUACCAAGGCGUCGACGGGUAGCCGGCCUGAGAGGGCGACCGGCCACACUGGGACUGAGACACGGCCCAGACUCCUACGGGAGGCAGCAGUGGGGAAUAUUGCGCAAUGGACGAAAAGUCUGACGCAGCAACGCCGCGUGAGGAUGACGGCCUUCGGGUUGUAAACCGUCUUUCUAGCAGGACGAAGCGAGAGUGACGGUACCUGCAGAAGAAGGACCGGCCAACUACGCGCCACGCAGCCGC